rnacentral:rRNA from 1 species
UUUGCUGACGAGUGGCGGACGGGUGAGUAAUGCUUGGGAACUUGCCUUUGGGAGGGGGAUAACAGUUGGAAACGACUGCUAAUACCGCAUAACGUCUACGGACCAAAGGGGGCUUCGGCUCCUACCUGAAGAGAGGCCCAAGUGAGAUUAGCUAGUUGGUGAGGUAAAGGCUCACCAAGGCGACGAUCUCUAGCUGUUCUGAGAGGAAGAUCAGCCACACUGGGACUGAGACACGGCCCAGACUCCUACGGGAGGCAGCAGUGGGGAAUAUUGCACAAUGGGGGAAACCCUGAUGCAGCCAUGCCGCGUGUGUGAAGAAGGCCUUCGGGUUGUAAAGCACUUUCAGUUGUGAGGAAAGGUUGGUAGUUAAUACCUGCCAGCUGUGACGUUAACAACAGAAGAAGCACCGGCUAACUCCGUGCCAGCAGCCGCGGUAAUACGGAGGGUGCGAGCGUUAAUCGGAAUUACUGGGCGUAAAGCGGACGCAGGCGGUUUGUUAAGCUAGAUGUGAAAGCCCCGGGCUCAACCUGGGAUGGUCAUUUAGAACUGGCAGACUAGAGUCUUGGAGAGGGGAGUGGAAUUCCAGGUGUAGCGGUGA